UCAGAGAACCAGAAGCUACUGUUUUUCUGGACAACAUUUUCUACCGAUGAAACAUAGGUUUUGGGGUUCACUAGGAAGUGUUGAUGAGGAAGUAUUAGGAGAUAGUGGUGGGGGAGUACCUAGAUUAUCUUGAGGGUUUAUCAUGGUAGAGUAUUUCUAGAGAUUUUAGGGAAUUUUGGAGAGAAGGAGGAUGAUCAGAAC
rnacentral:lncRNA from 1 species